UACGAAGGGGGCUAGCGUUGCUCGGAAUCACUGGGCGUAAAGGGUGCGUAGGCGGGUCUUUUAAGUCAGGGGUGAAAUCCUGGAGCUCAACUCCAGAACUGCCUUUGAUACUGAGGAUCUUGAGUUCGGGAGAGGUGAGUGGAACUGCGAGUGUAGAGGUGAAAUUCGUAGAUAUUCGCAAGAACACCAGUGGCGAAGGCGGCUCACUGGCCCGAUACUGACGCUGAGGCACGAAAGCGUGGGGAGCAAACAGGGAUUAGAUAACCCCUAGUCGACGAGCAACCAAGUCCUUCU
rnacentral:rRNA from 1 species